GGCGGCAUAGCCAAGUGGUAAGGCAGGGGACUGCAAAUCCUUUAUCCCCAGUUCAAAUCUGGGUGCCGCCU
rnacentral:tRNA from 1 species